UACGUAGGCAGCAAGCGUUGUUCGGAGUUACUGGGCGUAAAGGGCGCGUAGGCGGCUCAUGAAGGCUGUGGUGAAAGUCCGGGGCUCAACCUCGGAUCGGCCGUGGCGACUCGUGGGCUGGAGCACUGUAGAGGCGGGUGGAAUUCCGGGUGUAGCGGUGGAAUGCGUAGAGAUCCGGAAGAACACCAGUGGCGAAGGCGGCCCGCUGGGCAGUGGCUGACGCUGAGGCGCGACAGCGUGGGGAGCAAACAGG
rnacentral:rRNA from 1 species